rnacentral:rRNA from 1 species
UACAGAGGUCUCAAGCGUUGUUCGGAUUCAUUGGGCGUAAAGGGUGCGUAGGCGGCGCGAUAAGUCGGGUGUGAAAUUUCGAGGCUUAACUUCGAAACUGCAUUCGAUACUGCCGUGCUAGAGGACUGGAGAGGAGACUGGAAUUUACGGUGUAGCGGUGAAAUGCGUAGAUAUCGUAAGGAAGACCAGUGGCGAAGGCGGGUCUCUGGACAGUUCCUGACGCUGAGGCACGAAGGCCAGGGGAGCAAACGGG